rnacentral:rRNA from 1 species
CAGUCGCCGCGGGAAUACGUAGGUCCCGAGCGUUGUCCGGAUUUAUUGGGCGUAAAGGGAGCGCAGGCGGUUUAGUAAGUCUGGAGUUAAAGGCAUUGGCUCAACCAAUGUAUGCUUUGGAAACUGUUCGACUUGAGUGCAGAAGGGGAGAGUGGAAUUCCAUGUGUAGCGGAGAAAUGCGUAGAUAUAUGGAGGAACACCGGUGGCGAAAGCGGCUCUCUGGUCUGUCACUGACGCUGAGGCUCGAAAGCGUGGGGAGCGAACAGGAUUAGAUACCCCUGUAGCCUGUCUCUUAUACACC